UCUUUCUCCAAACCACCAUGGGGGUGUUGUCUCAACGUCUUCAUAAUUGACAGGUAUAAUUUAGAUUUGAAAUCUCUCCCCGGUGCAGUUUUUAGGUAUUGAUUGGCUUGUGAUGUCAAAGUUAAGUCAAAGUAAGACACUGAGCCAGUGUUGUGGGCAAGACCACCUUAACCAAGAGCAAGUCAUCACCAAGACCAGAGUGUUUCGAGACCGAGACCAGAUCAAGACCAGACCAGUGCGAGUCCCACACUGCAUGACCCGAUAAAAUGUGGAAAAUGCUAAUCAUAGGCACUCCUCAAAUUGAUCUGAAAGAUUUACAGUCCCAUGAAAAAACACCCACAGAAAACCAAUUGAGAUUGUUCUUCAUUCACCUAUUUUAUUGCCAUAAGUGUAACAUGAGAAAUGCCCUAAUAAAAUAAUCAAAAGGCAGUUGUGGUCUUGA